rnacentral:rRNA from 1 species
GGGCCCGCACAAGCGGUGGAGCAUGUGGUUUAAUUCGAUGAUACGCGAGGAACCUUACCAGGGCUUAAAUGCAGAACGACCGGGGUGGAAACACCCCUUUCUUCGGACGGUCUGCAAGGUGCUGCAUGGUUGUCGUCAGCUCGUGCUGUGAAGUGUCGGGUUAAGUCCCAUAACGAGCGCAACCCCUAUUUCUAGUUGCCAGCGGUUCGGCCGGGGACUCUAGAGAAACUGCCAGCGUAAGCUGUGAGGAAGGUGGGGAUGACGUCAAAUCAUCACGGCCCUUACGUCCUGGGCCACACACGUGCUACAAUGGUGGGGACAACGAGUCGCUAGUAAUCGCGGAUCAGAACGCCGCGGUGAAUACGUUCCCGGGCCUUGUACACACCGCCCGUCACACCAUGGGAGUGGGCUGUACCAG